AUACAACAGAUGAUGCCUAACAACUGUUUUAAAAGAUGGGUUCUGCUAUCACUCUUGGGAUGGACCUGCGGUGCAUUAGCUAGUGGUAGGGUAACGGGCCUACCAAGGCGAUGAUGCAUAGCCGAGUUGAGAGACUGAUCGGCCACAUUGGGACUGAGACACGGCCCAAACUCCUACGGGAGGCAGCAGUAGGGAAUCUUCCACAAUGGACGCAAGUCUGAUGGAGCAACGCCGCGUGAGUGAAGAAGGGUUUCGGCUCGUAAAGCUCUGUUGUUGGUGAAGAAGGACAGGGGUAGUAACUAACCUUUGUUUGACGGUAAUCAAUUAGAAAGUCACGGCUAACUACGUGCCAGCAGCCGCGGUAAU
rnacentral:rRNA from 1 species